UCAUCUUUAUAUUUUAAUUUUCGUUCCUUUGUGGCCUUCUGAUACACGUAUGUGACAGUAUCUGUGUACUGCUUGCUGAAAGGGAGCGUCGGGGGGGGGGAAUUAACCCGGCACGAUUCCUAACGGUUCCAGAAAUUUUGUUAAUGCGAAGGAAGAGGUAAACGGUACCCUGGGGCGCUGGGCUGCCUUCUUAAGACGGCAGCCGCUCUAGGUUUGCAGAUCUGGUCCAGUGGCUGAGAGAUGCCGACCACACACAUCGCCACGUGUCUGCUUUGUUUCGCGGGUAGACAUUUCAUAAAGCAGCAAAACCGGGAACCUGGAAUAGAAGCCGACGUUGGGCUUAAAUAAAUCCAAGCGAAUUUCCUGCCAAGGAAAAGACAGGGGCCGGCUUAAAUCAACGCGCUUUUGGCUCCCGGGUUGCUGCCUUAGAGCCAUUGCGAGGAAUAUCGCCCGGCACCCUCCAGGAUUCUGCAGUCCGAGCUUUCUAGCUGGUCCUGUCCUCUUGACUUUUAAGCACCUUCUUUUACAGGCAGGAAUAAUUCAGAUAAUCGGGCAUCCCUAGUCCAUUUGACAACUCUUUCCACGCUCAAGUUAAAGUAAGUAAACUUAUUCCCAUUUGUAG
ensembl:lncRNA